UUCGCAAUGCCCGAAAGGGUGACGAAGCGACGCCGCGUGUGGGAAGAAGGCCUUCGGGUUGUAAACCACUGUCGGGAGUUAAGAAAUGCAAGGAUAUUAAUAGUGUCUUUGUUUGACUAAGGCUCCGGAGGAAGCCACGGCUAACUCUGUGCCAGCAGCCGCGGUAAUACAGAGGCGGCAAGCGUUGUUCGGAAUUAUUGGGCGUAAAGAGCACGUAGGCGGCUAUGUAAGUCGGUUGUGAAAGCCUUCCGCUCAACGGAAGAACAGCAUCCGAUACUACAUGGCUUGAGUGUGGGAGGGGAGAGUGGAACUUCUGGUGGAGCGGUGAAAUGCGUAGAUAUCAGAAGGAACGCCGGCGGCGAAAGCGGCUCUCUGGCCCAUAACUGACGCUGAGUGUGCGAAAGCUAGGGGAGCAAACGGGAUUAGAUACCCCGGUAGUCCUAGCCGUAAACGACGGGCACUAAGUAGAGGGGUUUU
rnacentral:rRNA from 1 species